CUGAAGCUCCCAAGGAAAAAGCUAAACCUGUGAAGAAAGCUGAAGCCAAGGAUAAACCACCAGCACCUGUUAAAAAAGGUAAUUGUGUGCUGUUUACAUUUGUUUUUGAGGUAAAAAAAAAUGCUGAAUGUAUCUUUGCUUAUGUAUAGUAAUUAUAUUUACUUGUAGAAGCUGAAGUCGCUGUCGAAAAAGCAAAACUUGCUCCUGUAAAGAAGGGUAAGACAUUCCACAGACAAUCAAUGCCAUUCUAAACAAAAUGCAGUGUUUUUCUUUGUGUCAUAAACUGCUGGUGUUGAUGAAAUUACAGAGCCUGAGGUUCCCAAAGAGAAGGCCAAACCGGAGCCCUCAAAGAAAGCCGAAGCCCCCAAAGAGAAAGAGAAAGCUGUUCCAGUAAAGAAAGGUAUCACAUUUUGAACUCUAAAUUACGUAUUUAAUGUUAGAAUAAUUUUAUUUUAUUGGAAAAUAUUUUCACAGAUUUAACUGCCCAUAUCCACGUAGUCAGUUAAAGAGCCUCAGAGGAAAAAUUGAAAUCAGCAAGUUGAAAUGCUUUGCUCUUUUCUUAUUUAUUCAGAGGCUAAAGCUCCCAAGGACAAAAUUAAACCGGCCCUUUUGAAGAAAGAGCCUGAUGUUUCUAAGGAGAAAGAAAAACCACCAACUGCCAAGAAAGGUAAUAUGGACAUAUGUGGCCUUGAUCAAUUUUUUGUCAGUCUUAUAUAUAAUUUAUUGAAUAUGUACCUCCAUCUUUUUCAGAAGGGAAGCCAACAACUGCUCCUGUUAAAAAAGGUAAUUAGUAAUUUUCCUUUCUUAAAUUUAUCGAUGAGUGCAUUGUUCCAAUCUUAA
rnacentral:lncRNA from 1 species